AUUGAACGCUGGCGGCGUGCUUAACACAUGCAAGUCGAUCGGUAACAGGUGUAGCAAUACAUGCUGACGAGGGGCGGACGGGUGAGGAAUAUUUGGGAAUCUGCCCAUCAGCGGGGGACAACCCGGGGAAACUCGGGCUAAUACCGCAUACGCUCUACGGAGGAAAGCCGGGGACCGCAAGGCCUGGCACUGAUGGAUGAGCCCGAAUCGGAUUAGCUAGUUGGCGGGGUAACGGCCCACCAAGGCGACGAUCCGUAGCUGGUCUGAGAGGACGAUCAGCCACACCGGAACUGACACGGUCCGGACUCCUACGGGAGGCAGCAGUGGGGAAUAUUGGACAAUGGGGGAAACCCUGAUCCAGCGACGCCGCGUGGGUGAAGAAGGCCUGCGGGUUGUAAAGCCCUUUCGGUAGGGAAGAAAUCUCUUGUCUUAACACGGCAAGGGUUUGACUUAACCUACAUAAGAAGCACCGGCUAACUCUGUGCCAGCAGCCGCGGUAACAC
rnacentral:rRNA from 1 species